AGAUGGGAGCUUGCUCCCUGAUGUUAGCGGCGGACGGGUGAGUAACACGUGGGUAACCUGCCUGUAAGACUGGGAUAACUCCGGGAAACCGGGGCUAAUACCGGAUGGUUGUUUGAACCGCAUGGUUCAGACAUAAAAGGUGGCUUCGGCUACCACUUACAGAUGGACCCGCGGCGCAUUAGCUAGUUGGUGAGGUAACGGCUCACCAAGGCGACGAUGCGUAGCCGACCUGAGAGGGUGAUCGGCCACACUGGGACUGAGACACGGCCCAGACUCCUACGGGAGGCAGCAGUAGGGAAUCUUCCGCAAUGGACGAAAGUCUGACGGAGCAACGCCGCGUGAGUGAUGAAGGUUUUCGGAUCGUAAAGCUCUGUUGUUAGGGAAGAACAAGUGCCGUUCAAAUAGGGCGGCACCUUGACGGUACCUAACCAGAAAGCCACGGCUAACUACGUGCCAGCAGCCGCGGUAAUACGUAGGUGGCAAGCGUUGUCCGGAAUUAUUGGGCGUAAAGGGCUCGCAGGCGGUUUCUUAAGUCUGAUGUGAAAGCCCCCGGCUCAACCGGGGAGGGUCAUUGGAAACUGGGGAACUUGAGUGCAGAAGAGGAGAGUGGAAUUCCACGUGUAGCGGUGAAAUGCGUAGAGAUGUGGAGGAACACCAGUGGCGAAGGCGACUCUCUGGUCUGUAACUGACGCUGAGGAGCGAAAGCGUGGGGAGCGAACAGGAUUAGAUACCCUGGUAGU
rnacentral:rRNA from 1 species